rnacentral:tRNA from 1 species
GGGGACAUAGCUGAGUGGUAAAGUAUUUGCUUAGUAUGUGUGAGGCCUUGGGUUCAAUUCCCAGUGGAACCU